AUCUACACUGAAAAUAAUGACUUUGUGGUGUGGUAAAAUCUAUUACAUUAAUUAAUGUAAUUUAUACAUUGUAAAAUCAAGAUUAAGUUGUAACUAUAAUAUCUUAAGUAAAAAUUACACUAUUUAUUCAUGUAAUAACAUAACUGAGAAGAAAGAGUAAAUUGUAUUAUAUAUUUACAAGUACUAUUUAAUGUUUUAUGGUCACAGCACAUUCACCUAAAAAUACUAAGUAAAUGUUAAUCUGAAAAGCUAAGUGCGUUUGAAUCCGCGCGCUUUUUUUUUUUUUUUUUUUUUUUUUUAAACAAGAUCCUUCUGGCAGUGGCAGAGACGGUUGGUUUGGUUUGGGCGGUCACUUUUGGCUGACUUAUCUUCGUACCAAAGCAGACGUGAAACUGUCAUCCGCAGCCUUAUCCUGUACCUCAGUGAGAAAGAAGAAGAGCUUUUUGAAGAUUGCCUGGAGGACACUUGUAGUGAUGCCGCUGAACACACCCUUAAGAUACUGGUCAUCCAUGGUGCUGAUCAAGAGGAUCCAGUCGAUGUGUCCAUCAUGCGGCAGUACUGCUAAAGCUUGAACACUGCUGAUGGGGCUUAUUUAUGCCCUCAACCUGGCAUACACCCCAACACUGCUACACCUUUGAGGUGUUCCAGAAACAUUUCCUGGACCUGAAUGGUGUUAAGAUGUCCCCAAAAGUGCAAUCUUUAUAGUUGAAGUUGCUCUCUUAAAUGCUAUCAACAUGGUACAUGCUGUACAAUCGAAGCUGUUGGUAGACUCCAAGUUACAUCUCCAGUGCAAAUAUUUUUUACAAAAUCUUGACUAAUUUUUACUUCUUGAAAUGUUUUAAUGUGUUAAGGUUUUAAGAGCAUAAGGAGCACUUAGUAUCGGUUUGAAUGUUGUUAUUGCAUUAAAGGGUUAGUUCACCCAAAAAUCAAAAUUAGGUCAUUAAUAACUUACCCUCAUGUUGUUCCAAACCUGUAAGACCUCCAUUUAUCUUCAGAACACAGUUUAAAAUAUUUUAGAUUUAGUCCGCUCUCAGACUAGGACUUUAUUCAUCAUUGUCUUCUCUUCCGUGUCUGUUUUGAGAGAGUUCAAAACAAAGCAGUUUGUGAUAUCCGGUUCGCGAACGAAUCAAUUCGAUGUAACUGGAUCUUUUUGAACCAGUUCACCAAAUCGAACUGAAUCGUUUGAAAUGGUUCGCAUCUCCAAUACACAUUAAUCCAAAUGAAAUCAAAUGACUUAAACUGUUAACUGAUGAGUCAGUCUUCUGUUUGUUAUCUAGCUUGGCUUGGUGUUAAUCUUCAGUUCUCUCUUCACAGCAGUUCAGUCAGUGUACUGUUUGAGUAAAUGAAUUACUCCGGGAUAUUGGUUUGUUUGAACUCAGAGGGAGUGUCAGCCACAUUAAAAAAGUGAACAGCUUAAGUCAUUUGUGGAUUAAUGCAUUUUGGAGACGCGAACCGUUUAAAACGAUUCAGUUCGAUUUGGUGAACUGGUUCAAAAAGAUCCAGUUACAUCGAAUGAUUCGUUCACGAACCGGAUAUCACAAACUGCUUUGUUUUGAACUCUCUCUCACAACAGACACGGAAGAGAAGACAAUGCUAAAUAAAGUGGUAGUUUUUGCUAUUUUUGGACCAAAAUGUAUUUUCGAUGCUUCAAAAUAUUCUAACUGACCCUCUGAUGUCACAUGGACUAGUUUGAUGAUGUUUUUCUUACCUUUCUGGACAUGGACAGUAUACCGUACACACAGCUUCAAUGGAGGGACCGAGAGCUCUCGGACUAGAUCUAAAAUAUCUUAAACUGUGUUCCCAUAAUAAACGGUUUGGACUUGUUUGGAAUGACAUGAGGGUGAGUUAUUAAUUACAUAAAUUUAGAUUUUUGUGUGAACUAUCCCUUCACCUAUUUGAGAAAAUAUAAUCCCAGAUAUGUGUUGGAUGGAGUAAAAUGGAUUUUCCUUUUCUUUAGGGGAAAUUGUUGGUUAAUUCUUAUUGUAAAUGAUCCGAGAGGUUACUGAAUGU